AGCUACAUAUUAAAGAGAUUUAUUUAUAUAAAUAGGCUUGCUAGCUGAUUGUAUAUAUAUGCUGGCCGUAUUUCAUAGCAAGCUCGCUUUUAAUAGGCAACCAGUAAUAUGAGCAAUUCUUUACCUACAAGCCUAUAAUUAUAUUAACUCUAAGAGAAAUCUAAUAAUAAACGGAGUGAAUUGAAAUAUCUUAUUAACUUCAGGAAAAGAAAUCAAAAGAGAUUCUAUGAUUAGCGUGAGCUAAAAUAGAGUAGCCUAGAAAGUCAAAUGGUGGAUAAACUGUUUAAAUUUAAUGGGGAACCUUCCUCAAAGGCUAAAUAUAAUAUGUAAGCGAUAGUGGAAAGUACCGUGAGGGAACCAAAACAAAAACAGUGAUUUUAUAAGCAGUUCGGAAAAAUAAAAAAGUUAGAACGUACCUUUUGCAUAAUGGGUCACCAAGUUAACAUUAGAUGCGAGAUUCUACGUAGUUAAACCGAGCGUUAAAAUAACGGUAAGUGUCUAAAGUUAGACCCGAAGCCUGGUGAUUUUACCAUAAUCAGGAUUAUAAAAGUCCGAACGGAAUAUUGUAGCAUAAAUAUCCGAAGAAUUAUGGUAGGUGUAGUGAAAGACAAUACUGACCAGGAUAGCUGGUUUUCUGCGAAACCUAUAACAGUAGGCAAUUUAAGUAUAAUAUCUUAGCAGGUACAGAAUUUAAUCUCAGACAAGACAUAAGGCUUAACUUGUUAACAAGUUAAGCCCAUGUUUUAUUUUGUACAAAUUGGGGGAUCAUGAAGAUUUUAUCAGUGAGUAUGUAGACUCGGAAUGGCAAAGAUAUAUCUUAAAUCAUCAGACAUAGAAUGAUAAGGUUGUAUGUCAAAAGGGAAACAGCCCAGAACAAGAGUUAAGGUUCCUAAAUUAUUAGUUGAGUGAAAUUAAGAAGGUUUUUAUUAAAGUCGACAAGGAGAUAGGCUUAGAAGCAGCCAUAAUUUUAUGACCUCGUAACAGAGCGCUUGUUAAGUUUUAAAAGCAUCGAAAAUUUAUCGGAUCUAAACAAUAUACCGAAACCUUGUCCAUAUUAUUUUAUAAUUAAUAGUCUCAGCAAGCUCGGACUAUACAAUUAUAAUUAAAUGGGGUAGCAGAACGUUGAGCUAAAUUAAGAUUUUUAUUUUUUAAAUGAAAUUAUAAUAAUUUAACUCAAGUGAUAAUGGUGACAUGAGUAACUAAAAGAAAAUUUUCCGCCUAAAGCUUAUGGAUGUAAUUAAGUAACGGCCUCUAAGUUUAUGGAAUCAAAAGAUUAAAACGAUGAGACAAUCUUUCAUACUAAGGACGACAUUUUAAGUGCAAAAUGUACUGGAAAAAUAGUAAUAAGUUUAAGCUAUGGCUAGAACUAGCUAUAGCUGUAAAUGGAAAGUAACCGUACCUAGAAUCUGAAACAAGUAAGCUAGUAGAGAAUACGAAGGCGUAAAUGAGCUAACAAUCAUAAAGGAACUCGGCAAAUUGACUACCGUAACUUCGGGAUAAGGAGAGCUCAUUAUUCUUGAUUAAUAUCAGGUAAAGAGGAAGAAGCAUGAAAUAGUGUUGUACGACUGUUUAAUUAAAACACAGCACUUUGCUGAAAGAUUAAAAAUCUAAGUAUAGAGUGUGAUGUCUGCCCGGUGCCGGCUGGUUAACAGAUAUAAUUAAAUAUACUAAUAUUUGAUGUAGACGGAAACCCCGGUUAAAGGCGGCCUUAACGUGAGGGUCCUAAGGUAGCGAAAUGCCUUGGCCGUUAAAUGCGGUCUUGCAUGAAUGAUGUAACGAUACAACAGCUGUCUCUAUGAUUGACUCAGUGAAAUUGGAAUAGCUGUGCAGAUACAGUUUACCUCUAGUUAGACGAGAAGACCCUAUGCAGCUUUACUGUCACUAAUUAUAGAGUAUGAUAAACAAUUUUCAGUUUAUAAGGUAAUUGACGGCCGGCUUGCUUAGCAAGCUGGCUCUAUGACAAUGAGAAUCCUUUAUUUUUUUUUCAUAUGAAUGAAUUGGUUUAGGACGAGCUUAAGCUCGUAGUAAAUCAACCUAAUUCAGCUUAUUUUCCUUUCUGCUGUAAGCGCAUAAUGAUAGAUUAUACUUAAAUUUGGAUUUAUGCCUGCAGAAAUAGAUAAGUACCCUUGGUUAAGGAACUAUCGCUAGGGGACAGUUUAUGUGGGGCACAGACCCUGUAAAGAGUAAACAGGAGUGUCUAAUAAUUUAUAAUUAUUUUGUUUGCGAUUUAAGGUAGUAGAACUAUUUUUAAUCAUAUAAAAUUAUUUAUAUGUACAUUCGUUGUAUAUAUAUUUAAAAAAAGGUAGGAUUUUCACUAUAUAGAAAUUAGAGAUAAUAAAAAUAUUAAGUAGUAGCUGCUGAGUCCUAAUCCCGCCGAAGGGGGGAUAUGGACUACUAUGUAUUUCAUAGCAAGCUCGCACUAAUAUUUUUUAACUAUUAAGACUGGCUAUCUAGCUAUGCUCUAAUAGUUAUGUUUUAAUUAUCUAAAAAGCUCAACGGCUAAAUCUUGCCUUACUGUUUGAUUAUCAACAAAUCUUACAGUUGCGUAAGCAGGGCAUAGGAUCACAAGAUGCAACAAGGAAAGAUCUUGGAUUAUUGGAAAAGCUACGCUAGGGAUAACAGGCUAAUUUGCGCAAGAGUGUACAAAAUGAGUGCGCGGUUUGGCACCUCGAUGUCGGCUUAACUUAUCCUCAUGGAUGCAGGAACUAUGUAGGGUGCGACUGUUCGUCGAUUAAAAAGUUACAUGAGCUGGGUUAAAUACGUCGUGAGACAGUAUGGUUUCUAUCUUCUAGGGGGAAUUAGAAUAUAAUAAGAACUAACUUUUGUACGAAAGGAACAAGAAGAAUUUAAUUUGUAAAAGGGUUAAAUAAUAGUUACUAACCUAUGGUUUACCUGUUGUCUAUGUGCCCAAAUAUUAAAAUAUAGGAUAAAAAUUCUAUAUAUCUGUAUAGCUUUAGCUAUACAUAGGGAUGUUUCUUUCACUAAGAUAAAUAUAUAGCAUAGGCACGGCAGGAAAGCUAAGUUGGUUAAGGAUAAGUGCUGAAAGCAUAUAGGCACGAAGCUUAUCUUAAGAUAUUUCUUAAAUAUACGUAAAAUAUUAUUACGAAGGAUUAAUAUAGGCUUUAUCCGUACGAAUCUGGAGAUUUUUAAGAAUAAAGUACUAAUUUUAUAAAUAACUAUUUAU
rnacentral:rRNA from 13 species